AGGGUUCGAUUAUGGCUCAGAACGUACGCUGGCGGCACGCCUUAUACAUGCAAGUCGAACGCAGUAGCAAUACUGAGUGGCAGACGGGUGAGUAUGAUGUGGGAAUCUGCCUUUUGGUUUGGAAUAACUUGGGGAAACUCGAGCUAAUACUGGAUAAGCCCUUACGGGGAAAGCUUUAUGCGCCAAAAGAUGAGCCCGCACUUGAUUAGCUAGUUGGUGAGGUAAUUGCUCACCAAGGCAACGAUCAAUAGCUGUUCUUAGAGGAAGACCAGCCACAUUGGGACUGAGACACGGCCCAGACUCCUACGGGAGGCAGCAGUAAGGAAUCUUGCACAAUGGGGGAAACCCUGAUGCAGCGAUGCCGCGUGAGUGAAGAAGGCCUUUGGGUUGUAAAACUCUUUCGUCGGGGAAGAAAAUGACUGUACCCGAAUAAGAAGGUCCGGCUAACUUCGUGCCAGCCGCCGCGGUAAUAC
rnacentral:rRNA from 1 species